AAGUCGUAACAAGGUUUCCGUAGGUGAACCUGCGGAAGGAUCAUUAAAAAAAGGAUACCCGGGAAAACCGAUAGACCCCCACCCGUGUCUAUCUACUCUUGUUGCUUUGGCAGGCCGUGGCCUCCACCGUGGGCUCUGCCUGCGCGCGCCUGCCAGGACCAAACUCUGAAUUUAGUGAUGUCUGAGUCUAUAUAAAGUUAAAA
rnacentral:misc_RNA from 1 species